rnacentral:lncRNA from 1 species
GUAGGGGAACAUUCGAGACAUCAAAUAUUUUUCAUUUCUUCAAUACAGACUUCUCGGUUCUCUCAAUCUCUCCUCCUUCUCUCUACUUUCUCUCUCUACAUUCUCUGUGAUUUUUCUCGGUUAAUCUCAAUAUUGACAUCUCGAAUCACAGGGAAGCAGAAUUCUAGGGUUCAUGCUGUUGGGCGUAUUUUGGGAAGUUUCAUGGUUGAAUAAUAUCUAUAGUAAGCUUUCUUGAGUUUUCUGAUUUUAUUUUCAUUAGUGAAGCUUAGAUUCUUCUUUUUCUCUUGUCGUUCAAUCCGGGUGGGUUCUGGGAGUUUUCUUCAUAGUAAAAUCAGAUUUCAUGCUCGCCUUUUAGUUUAAACAUGAUUUUAGUUAAUGGGGUUUAGGUUCUGAUUCAUUGCUAGUUUAUUAAUUAGCCGGAUUAGUUUUUCUAUAUCGCUCAUUCAAAAUAAUCUGAAUUCAGUAGUUGUUGUGAUAUCUGUUCUUUCCUUUUCUGUGAGCUUUCCUUUUCGUAUUUGACGAUUCUGUGUUAGUUUUGCUAGCUUAUUCAAGUGUUGAUUGUUAUUCUCGUUUGGGUGAUGGUUUGGUAAAACGGAAUUAGGAACGAUUUGUAGUUUGGUUUAGUUUGGAUAUUCAGACUUUAAUUGUUGGACUUGUUUGAUUAUAGCUGAAGUAGUAUUGGUUAAUUAGUCUCCAGUUAAAAGAAUAGAGUAAUGGUGAUUUAGGAAAAUAAUUGUAGGGGGUAUUUAGGGGUAUAUGGGUAAUUAAAGUUGGAUAAGAAUGUUAAAGAUCAGACUAAAGUUCCCUAGAUCAUUCUAGAUGGGGUUCACUUUAGAAUUCUAUAAAGUUUGGUGGUAUAACUUGGGAAACAAGUCAGUUUUCUAGGGAUACUUAAGCAAAAAUGAAAAUUAGGAAAGGGUCUAAUGCAAAACUGAACAUCUGAGGGUUGUCCCUUAUUUUUGCCUAUAUAAGGCACCUUUUAGUGCCUUAAUCAACAAGUUUGGAGCCCCAAUAUUCCCCCAAAAUUGUCCUCAAGUUCUCCAGAUAUGAAAUUCAAAUUCAGAUCAAACCUUCUCGUAGAAUUUAAUUUCCUUUAUACAGAAAACCCAAAAAAAAAACAAAACAAUAGAAACUGUCAAAAAAUCCAAAAGUAAAACAGAAUCCAAUAGAAAACCUCCGAAAAACUCAAAAAUGCACUGUUACAUUGAAGUUUAUGCAAUUCCAAUCAUGAAUCCGAGUUUCUAAUACUCCUGAGUUCAAUUUCAAGUUGUUUUGGACUUAUUCAAACUGUUUGGUUUGUGGUUUUGGUUGCUGAAAACUUCAGAAGCUUUUCUAGUGUAAUUUCAAGUUUGAAUUUGGUCUUAAGCAAGUUAUUUGGUUAUCUGCUGGUUUUAUUCGCCUUUGAUUAUCCCUGGGCUGUUUUGGAGCUAUUUCUGGAUUGAUUCCAAGUUAUUAUUGCUUGCUGAAUCCGGUCUGUUGUCAUUGCUGAGCUGAUCUCCUCCUCUUAUUUGUAUUUUCGCUGCCAGGUACUCGUUUGAAUUCCUGCUGUAACUGCGAGUUCGAAACAUGGAAUGAAACUGCCCUUCUGCUGAUUCUAUUUAAUUUCUUGUGUUUAAUCAUAGCUUAGUUCGAUCAACAUCUGUUUUGCUAGAUCCGAUUUGUAACUAAACUGGAGUAAAUAGACUGCGGACGUUUGGAUACAAAGUACGGGAAGUGUUUGUAUUUCAAAUUUUAGUUAGUUCAUAAGGAUUACAAGGUCACACAGUACCAAGACUGCUAUUUAUGUUUUCUGAAAAUGUCACCUAGAUAGUCAUAGCUGUUGAUUAAUUCGAAUGUUUAUAGAGUUUAAUUGAGUUGCUGUUGAAAAAAAUUGCGAUUAUUGGUUUACAAAGUUAGUUUGGUCAUCUUUGAUUAAUACUGCGUCCUAUGGAGAUUCCCUUGAAGGAAAUGGACUGAGGAUGUGAUAGGGUGCAAAAUAUAGUUCGAAAGGGCUGUUGUUGUGUUUUUUUUGGAUUUCAAAACGAAUUGAAUCUGUUGAGAUAAAUCAAUCGAAAUGAGCUGUGUAAUUUCUGGUGUCUAAGUGAAAUAAACUUGAGACAGAUGUAGGAGUAAUUGUUCAAUUAGAAUGUUGUAUUUGAUUUUU